rnacentral:rRNA from 1 species
AUUGAACGCUGGCGGCAUGCCUUACACAUGCAAGUCGAACGGCAGCACGGGUGCUUGCACCUGGUGGCGAGUGGCGAACGGGUGAGUAAUACAUCGGAACGUACCUUAUCGUGGGGGAUAACGCAGCGAAAGUUGCGCUAAUACCGCAUACGCCCUGAGGGGGAAAGCGGGGGACCGUAAGGCCUCGCGCGAUUAGAGCGGCCGAUGCCUGAUUAGCUUGUUGGUGGGGUAAAAGCCCACCAAGGCGACGAUCAGUAGCUGGUCUGAGAGGACGAUCAGCCACACUGGGGCUGAGACACGGCCCAGACUCCUACGGGAGGCAGCAGUGGGGAAUUUUGGACAAUGGGGGCAACCCUGAUCCAGCAAUGCCGCGUGAGUGAAGAGGGCCUUCGGGUUGUAAAGCUCUUUUGUCAGGGAAGAAACACCGGCUCUAACACAGUCCGGGAAUGACGGUACCUGAAGAAUAAGCACCGGCUAACUACGUGCCAGCCGCCGCCGUAA